GAGUGGCUUGUCGCUCGCAACACACAUGAUUGCGAGAGGAAAGUCCGGGCAACACAGAGCAUCGCAUUUCUUAACGGGAAGCUGGGGGUGACCUCAGGGUUUAAGGUGACAGAAAACAACCGCCGCAAGGCAAGGGUGAAAAGGUGGGGUAAGAGCCCACCGGGCGCCACGGCGACAUGGCGCGCCGCACCACCUGCGAGUUGCAAGGUCAAGUAUAUCGGCAUCUAAGGGUUGCUCGUCCAUUGUCGAGGGGUAGACUGCUAUACUGGCGUGGCAACACGUUCCAGACAGAUAAAUGACAAGCGGCGUCACCCACGGGUGACGACCACAUAACCCGGCUUAUAGCUCCACUGC
rnacentral:RNase_P_RNA from 1 species